CUACCACACCUGCUGUAGUGAUGUGACACCUACCACUAGUUCUAGCACACCUGCUGUAGUGACAUGACACCUACCACUGUAGUUCUACCACACCUGCUCACACCUGCUGUAGUGACAUGACACCUCCUACCACACCUGCUGUAGUGAUGUGACACCUUUUACCACUAGUUCUAGCACACCUGCUGUAGUGACAUGACACUUCCUACCACUGUAGUUCUACCACACCUGCUGUACCAUCAUGACACACCUGUCACCUGCUGUAGUCCCAUGACAUACCUCCUCAAUUUCAUCAGCUGUAUUCUUCUAUGGAAACAUAUAUGGUUGCAGGGGUCUUGUGUCAAUGAACUGUGAUUAAAACACCCUCCAGUAUGUCUCUGGUUGUAGGUGACAUUAACCAAAUACACACUCUGAUAAAGUUAAGUUAUCAUCAUCAUCAGUGAUAGAGGUUUCAAAAGCAUACAAUAUUGUAUGUGAUUGUCGUGAACAAAUUUGCUAGUGUAUAUAUGUACUUACGCAUCACAUGUGAUAAAUUUGAAGAGUGUUUGAGCAAAAUGGGCUGGGAACUGUUUAACAAAGACAGAUAAUCAAACUGUAUGCAAUUUGUUUUUUGAGGAAAGAAAUUCCUUUGAUAAUGUGAUAUAUUUGUGAUAUGGUGAGAUAUUAAGCUAAUAACAUCAUCGGGUGGCAUCAUAGUCACACACUGUUUGGUCCCACUUACUGGUGACAGGUUUCUUUUCACAGUGGGUUUGUCUAAUACUCUUUUGGUUCAUGCUGAUGCUUAAAGGUCGGACUAGGUCGCACAAACUGUAACGUAGGGGUAUAGCGAGCUGUAGCCGUGAUGGAACGAAACUUUCACACAUCCAUAGCAGCAUGUAUGAGGUCACAAGCAACUAUGUUGAUCCAGUAGAUUAUAACAAUGUUUGAAAUAUAGCCUAGAAGUUAAGGAUUUCUUGUUGUAACCCUAAAAUAUGAUUCAAAUAUUUGGAGGGUUCCUAGAUUUCAGGACCACAAGGACCUCCAUAAUUCUGAAUACAAAAUACAUAUUAAUGAUGAAUCAAUUACAUAGGUCUAAGGUAAGUUUCAGGAGUUGGUUUAGAGUAAGACUUUCAACAAGACUUACAAGAUGUUGAUGGUCCGGCCUUUAAGAUAUGAUGUGGGUAUAUAAAGAAUGUGAUCCGUUGUAAGCAUAUGCUGUAUGACUAUUCUCCACUAUGGGCAGUCCUACAGCCUCACUGUGCCUUGUCCCAGACCUCAGCAUGGGGAGAUUGUCUAUGUGCUGACUCUGUACAUAUGAUAUACAUAUUAAACAUGCUAUGUUUCA